UACGUAGGGCGCAAGCGUUAUCCGGAAUUAUUGGGCGUAAAGAGCUCGUAGGCGGUUUGUCGCGUCUGCCGUGAAAGUCCGGGGCUUAACCCCGAGCCUGCAGUGGAUACGGGCAGACUAGAGGUAGGUAGGGGAGAAUGGAAUUCCCGGUGUAGCGGUGAAAUGCGCAGAUAUCGGGAGGAACACCGGUGGCGAAGGCGGUUCUCUGGGCCUGACCUGACGCUGAGGAGCGAAAGCGUGGGGAGCGAACAGG
rnacentral:rRNA from 1 species